ACUCCUGUAAGGACACUGGUGAUUACACUGUGCCUCGGGGAGUCCGUGAUAAUCUUCCCACCCCAAUACCCUUCACUUCAUGACAUCUCCACAGUUCCUUUUGCUACAUAAGGAUUCAAUUUCUCCAGCCUGUUGGACCAAAGGGUUCUGUUCCUCACUUGCUGUUGGCUGGAGGCUGCCCCUAGUUCCUAGCCAAAUGGACCUUUCUAUGGAGAAGACAGCUCACACCAUGCCAGCUUCCUUCAUCAGCACAAACAAGCUGGAAGGACAGAGUUCUAGCAAGACAGAAACCACAGCCUUUGGCAACCUAAUCUUAGAGAGAGGGAGAGAGAGAGAACAAGCAAGGGGAGCAGAAGAAGCAGGUUCCCUGCUGAGCA